AGAUAAAGCUUGUUAAGGUGGAGGUGAUGGAGCAAUGCUGACCACUCCACCAGUGUCCUCAACCCAUCUACCUUCCCUCAGUCUGAAGAGGAUGAGGAACACAGUAGAGGAAUUGGUAACUUCUAAGAAAAAAGGACAUCAUGAAAGAUUGAACAUGAUCUACUCAUGAACUAAUAGAGACAAAUGAGAAUGCAGAAGACAAAACGCUAUACCUCCAAGGAUAACGAUCAGCCUAUCCUCCUAAUGUCAAUUUUUUUCCCUUGAGCUGAAAACCAUUGCUAAAGCAAUGUUGACACCAAAAUGCAAACAUGGUUAUUUGAUUGUGCAUUUUAGUCUGGUGUGUGUGUCCCAGUUUUCUGUUCACACAUAGUGAAACCUCAGUACUCGAACUUAAUUCAUUCCAGAAGGCUGUUCGAGUGCCAAUCUGUUAGAGUAUCGAACAGAUCGGCUGUUAUUACUAAUCUACAUAGGCCCCAUGGUGACUUAUUUAUAUAAUAUAAAAAACACCAAAAAAUGCGAAGAAACACGAAAUAGUUUACAGUGAAGUUCUGGCACGUAGUAUUUGUUUGGUCAUGUGCCGAGCUUUGUUAGAGUAGAGUAGAGGGAGCUGUUCGAGUACUGAGGUUCCACUGUACAAGGUUUUUAACAGCUUUAUGGCUGCUGUAGUUUAGAAUUUAAUUUUAUUAACCAAUAAAUUGUGGAGUACCCAGAAAUUAAAACUCCUGUGCAGCAAAAUGGUAAUAAUUACUUUUUUAGACAAAGUGUUCUAAAAAAAAAAAAAAUUUAAAUUAAAGGAAAACUUCAUUUUUAUGGCAUUUUGAAGUUGGCAAAAAAAAUCAGUUGUCAGCAACAUCAGCAUAAAUACACACACAAGUAUUUGUUUUCCAAUUUACUUAUGCCUAAGUAUGUUUACUUCUAUUUUUGAUACCUAACAUUACGUGCACUACUUUGUUAGGAUAACAAGUGUGUUGUAAGGAGUUUUAUUACUUGAAACAUGCAGAGCUGCAUAGCAUGCAAUAGCCCCAAUAGAAAUAUUCACUGUUAAUUUGUACAAAUAAUUAUUUUUUGAUUUCCAUUAUUUAUUUUGUCCUCCAAAUCAAUGUACCAUGAAAUUUUAUGAUACUGUAGUACAAUUUUUUUCCAAGUUGUAAUGCUCCCUGAAGCAAGGAAAUCACACUAUUUGAUUUUAUUGGAUUGUCGUAAGUUAAGUCUACAUAGUAUCGUGGGGUGUCCUAAGUUAAGUCUACAUAGCAUCAUGCUGAAAUAAAGAAUCUUAAUCUUUGCAGAAUUUUAUUGUUAGUAUUUUUUUUUCAACAAACUGGCCAUAUCCCACCAAGGCAGGGUGGCCCAAAAAGAAAAACUAAAGUUUCUCUUUUUAAAUUUAGUAAUUUAUACAAGAGAAGGGGUUACUAGCCCCUUGCCCCCAGCAUUUUAGUCGCCUCUUACAACACACAUGGCUUACGGAGGAAGAAUUCUGUUCCACUUCCCCAUGGAGAUAAGAGGAAAUAAACAAGAACAAGAACUAGAAAGAAAAUAGCAGAAAACCCAGAGGGGUGUGCGUAUAUAUAUGCUUGUAUAUGUAUGCGUAGUGUGACCUAAGUGUAAGUAGAAGAAGCAAGAUGUACCUGAAAUCUUGCAUGUUUAUGAGAGAAAAAAAAAGGACACUAACAAUCCUACCAUCAUGUAAAACAAUUACAGGCUUUCGUUUUACACUCGCUUGGCAGGAUGGUAGUACCUCCCUGGGCGGUUGCUGUCUACCAACCUACUACCUAAUUUUAGUAUUAUAAUAGCAUAAUAAAUUUUGAACAAAUAAAGCAAUUUCCUUUCAGUUGCACACCCAGUUUGUUGGCAGGUAAGCAGGUGGUAUCAUGACAGGUUUUAGGCAUUGUUUACAUGUACUACUGAGGUAGUGUUAUCCAUGAUGCACUGAAUGAACCAUUUGAUCCUGGAUUUUUUCCCAGUUGAGCUCAAACCUCAAAUGGUGAUAGGCAGCAACCCUGAAGGCACAAAAAAUUAGGCAGAGGGUGUAUUUUAUAAAGACACCAUCUGGUCCCUUGACAUAUGAGGCAUGUCAGAAAGCUUAAGGGUUAAUGGUUGACAAUCUAACUUAAGGAAACCAAAACUAAAUAGCAUAUACUGAGAAAUCUCCUUAAAAAAUUCUAUAAGAAAUCGACAGUGUUAGGAGGACAGGCUGUAACCACACACUAACAGGAAGAAAUAAAAGACAACACUCAUUAUACCGUAUUUCUCCUUACAACAUGAAUACUAUAAUAAAAAUUAUGAAAUAUUGUACCUGAUAAUUAGGCACAAAUUUGCAAAUAUAUUCCAAAAUGUGGAAUAAAUAGUUUUAAAUUAUAUAGGAGGAUCUUUUACAUAUAAUAUCAUACAGUAAGACUUAAGAAAUCGUAAUGACACGAUUGCAAAUAAACCAUACCCCCG